ACGCUGGCGGCAGGCCUAACACAUGCAAGUCGAGCGGUAGAGAGAAGCUUGCUUCUCUUGAGAGCGGCGGACGGGUGAGUAAUGCCUAGGAAUCUGCCUGGUAGUGGGGGAUAACGUUCGGAAACGGACGCUAAUACCGCAUACGUCCUACGGGAGAAAGCAGGGGACCUUCGGGCCUUGCGCUAUCAGAUGAGCCUAGGUCGGAUUAGCUAGUUGGUGAGGUAAUGGCUCACCAAGGCAACGAUCCGUAACUGGUCUGAGAGGAUGAUCAGUCACACUGGAACUGAGACACGGUCCAGACUCCUACGGGAGGCAGCAGUGGGGAAUAUUGGACAAUGGGCGAAAGCCUGAUCCAGCCAUGCCGCGUGUGUGAAGAAGGUCUUCGGAUUGUAAAGCACUUUAAGUUGGGAGGAAGGGCAUUAACCUGAUACGUUAGUGUUUUGACGUUACCGACAGAAUAAGCACCGGCUAACUCUGUGCCAGCAGCCCGCGGUAAUACAGAGGGUGCAAGCGUUAAUCGGAAUUACUGGGCGUAAAGCGUGCGUAGGUGGUUUGUUAAGUUGGAUGUGAAAUCCCCGGGCUCAACCUGGGAACUGCAUUCAAAACUGACUGACUAGAGUAUGGUAGAGGGUGGUGGAAUUUCCUGUGUAGCGGUGAAAUGCGUAGAUAUAGGAAGGAACACCAGUGGCGAAGGCGACCACCUGGACUAAUACUGACACUGAGGUGCGAAAGCGUGGGGAGCAAAC
rnacentral:rRNA from 1 species